rnacentral:lncRNA from 1 species
ACCGAAGAAAUCUGAGAAAACAGAAAUUGUGUAAAGCCAGAUUAAUUGAGUAAGAUUGGUUAUUCCUAGUGUUGAAUGGAAUUUAUGUAUUUUGUGUGGACUUUUGAGACAGUGCAGAUUGCAUUUAGUGGUUAUUGGUUAAUGAAAGGAUUUCAUUAGCAGGAAAAAAUCUUGUAGUGUUUCUUCGCUGUUUUAAGUAGUGCGGAAUACAGUUAAUUGUGUGACCCUAACGUGUAAGCUCAUGUGGUAUUCUUUCCCUGUGUUCAAAUUCUCCUAUACAUGUUUACUCUGAUUAGAUUAGUUAGAGUAAGUAAAAUGACAAUCACAACGAUUAAAUAUUAUCGUCCAAGUCCAACCUUCCACUUGCUACAUCAACCCAAAUUCGUAAGGUAGUACCUCGAUGGCUUAGAUC